rnacentral:tRNA from 1 species
CUCUGUGGUGCAGAUAGCUAAUGUGCUUGGCUGCUAACCAAAAGUUGGUGGUUCGAAUCAACCCAGAG